UAAGGUCCUAGAUGACCCUUGGAGGUGU
rnacentral:piRNA from 1 species